rnacentral:rRNA from 1 species
UACAGAGGGUGCAAGCGUUAAUCGGAAUUACUGGGCGUAAAGCGUGCGUAGACGGUUACAUAAGUCGGGUGUGAAAGCCCCGGGCUCAACCUGGGAAUUGCAUUCGAGACUGCGUAGCUAGGGUGCGGAAGAGGGAAGCGGAAUUUCCGGUGUAGCGGUGAAAUGCGUAGAUAUCGGAAGGAACACCAGUGGCGAAAGCGGCUUCCUGGUUGGAUACUGACGCUGAGACGCGAAAGCGUGGGGAGCAAACAGG